UGUCGAAGGCCAUCCUUCAUUACCAGGUC
rnacentral:piRNA from 1 species